UACAGAGGGUGCAAGCGUUAAUCGGAGUUACUGGGCGUAAAGGGCGCGUAGGUGGUUGUGUAAGUGAGAUGUGAAAUCCCUGGGCUUAACCUAGGAACUGCAUCUUAUACUGCAUAACUGGAGUACUGUAGAGGGUAGUGGAAUUUCCGGUGUAGCGGUGAAAUGCGUAGAGAUCGGAAGGAACACCAGUGGCGAAGGCGGCUACCUGGACAGAUACUGACACUGAGGCGCGAGAGCGUGGGGAGCAAACAGGAUAGAUACC
rnacentral:rRNA from 1 species